CAUUGCUGUCAUUGCAGCCAGUUUCUUCAGAGUCCGCCUUUUUUUUUAAUGUUGCAGCGGAGGCAGUGAUUGAUCAGCUGAACCUCAACCUGCCAUCGCACCUGAGGAUCUGAGGGAGGAGGAUACAGAGGUGACACCGGAGGUCUUGGAGCAAAUAGGUGGAAGUGAAUCCGAUGAGGAGUCCUUAACAGAAGAGCUGGCGGAGGAGGAAGUCCAAGAUGAGCUACAGAGUCCUCUCCCAGUGUCACACAUGAUGAAACUACAGCUCACGAAGAGAAUAGACACAGACGGUGGAGGUUUGAAGGUUCCUCCAGACUGGAGAGUCGUCACGGUGGCUUUACUCCACGUACUGUAAGUCCUCGUUAUUACCCA